CACCCUUACCUCACAUUAGAGCAUUUUUUUGUGCUCUAAUGACUUUAACGUUAGAAAAUUUAAACGUUGGGUAAGGGUUAACAAAAACAUAAUGAAUGAAGUGACAGUAAAGGUCGGGUUCUGUUUUUCCAGUGUUUACAUUGGUUAUUUAGCAAUCCAGAUCAGUUCAGGCACACAAGACUUUCUCUUAAUAGCAUGAGCACCAGUUGCAGAUGAAGAAAAUAUCUGAGACUAAAUCUGCCAAUCAGAUUAUCAGUUUGGUGUGUGUGCAAGAGCGCAGCCUCUGCAAGGUUGCCAGAUCGGUGGUUGUUGAGCUGCUGAGGCGCCACGUCGUAGAGAAGACCGGAGUAGUGGAAUUGUUUGGAUCUGGCUGUGAGUGGGCAGAAGUCACAUUCAAGUCUGCAGAUUUCUUAUCUUUGAUGAUUUCUUAAUAAGUAUUGAAUCGAACCUGAUGUGUUUGAGGUGGUACUUUGAUGUUCUCUCAUAAUCACGCUAGCGAUAAAUAUUUGAUGUCAUUGUUGUCCUGCUGGCCCUGUGCAGCAUAUGUUUAAAUAAUAACCCCACCCAUUUGGGGGGGCUUGCUUUCAGUUCUUUUAAAGAAGGUUCAGCCCCAAAGGGCCAUGCUAGCCUACAGGGGCGGGGAGAAAGGGUGUGUCGACGACAAUGAUGAUGAUGAUGACAAUGAUUAUGGGUUAAAAGUUAGAAGGAUAAAAAAUGAGGAGAGGGAUGCAGUACAAAUAUGGAUCAAUAUCUGAAUGCUAAACCAUGCCAACACAGGGGUACUGGGGUACUUGCUGCUGAGUAAGGGCUUGUUAUCAUCACAGGACUCCUGAAGGGCUGUGAUGUCAGCCUCAGGACAGAGAGAUGAGCCAAGGCACACAAAGGGAUGAAAGGUAGUUGGAGGAGGAGAUGGGAGUCCCAGAGGGACUCAAAGCCUUGCAACCAUGAUCUGUAAAGGACUGUUGAAAGUAGCAGGCAACACACUGGAUGGUCGUGGAGAUAAACGCAUCCCUGUCAUGACAAAUGUGUAACUGGUCUAUCCGUUACCAGAACUGUGUGCUUGAGCCAUGGAAAUUCUCCAUGUUUUAGGUUUGCUGCGCUGUGAUAAUCAUAAUCCCCAAUCUGGGAGAUUACUGUUAUCCUGAUAUCAUCAUGCCAACAGCCAGUCAAACAAGCCAGAUGUCUGCAUGCAAAAGCCGAGCUCAAAUCGCUUCUGUGUCACGCCCAGGCCUCUCAGACAGGACAAGUAGCCUUUUCCCCGUUAGUGUGAGAUUAAAUAAGUCCUGCAGCUGCAAAAGCAAUACUGGAAAGUACGUGAAAGGCUCAUGGAAACGUUACAUUUUUAAAUUUGAGUCAGAAAAAGAAAAUUUUUUCAUGAUCGCAAUUUCAAGAACCUAAAGGCCUUUUCUGUUACUUUACGGUUUGUUUAAAUUAUUUUCUUUUUUCAUUUUGUUAGUAGAUUCAAUUGGGUUCAGAAAACUGGGGGGAGGCGGUUUCCUUUGUCACUUUCUUUGUUUCUCUCAAUGAUUCCGUCUGAUGCUGCUCUCCCACGAUGUUAAAGGUCUGGUGCACCCAGAAACUGUUAUAAUUGUGCUUUCUGAAAUAUGAUCCGUUUCCCUGAGCAGCACCCUGCGUGCAGAACGUGAAUCUUCUUUUCAACCAUUGCCUGCAUUAGCCAUAGAAAGGAAAUAUGAUCUGAAAGACCAGUCUCUCCUAUGUCACGGGGAAGAUGUGCAUUCGUGACCUACUCCAUCAGAUCCGCGAGGGAGAGACAGACGCAUUGACAGACAUUUCAGACUUUUGCAUCAGCUGGGGGUUGUUGCAAAACAAUUCCCCGCCUGGACAACAACAGGCGUCACACUAUUUUGCGGUAUCCUGCCUCAUUACAGUCACGUAUCUGCUCCACUGUGGUGUAUUUACUACUGUAUUUACAUUACUGUAAUGUAUUUUAGAGACUUUUUAACACGGACACAUUUUUCCCUAAUUUGCACCUCUGAACUGACAUGAUGUCUUUUCCGUCCACAAAAACAUGCUUGCUGCAUAUCUUUGCUCUCCUUCAGUUACGGGUGAAUGAAUAUUUUCAGACUUUGUGAUGCGUUCUUCAAUCUGUUCCGUGUCUGCCGCUAAAUAUCUCUUGACUUGAAGCAGCAAAGACGGAGCUGUUGACGAAUUUACAGGAAGCAGCGUCCUGAAUAAUCACGAAUUUGCAAUCUGCGUCUCUUUCGGUGGAUAGAUAAAAACGGAGGCGUGUCUCGGUCUUCCUUUGCGAACCAGUCAGAGGGCUCUUGCCUCGGCGUAUAAUGGCAUUGAAUGUCUCUGUCCCGACGCAGAUGGAAAGUAUAAAUUAGGCUUAAUCCAUUGCGGCUUUUGACCCCAAAAGGUCGUGUUGAUUUGGCAUCGAGAGAGCAAAGUGUGCAGUAGAACAUUCAGGUUUGUUUUCUGUGAGGAUGAAAUGUCAAAGUUGCAUUUUUUAUCGAAAAAAAUAAAUUGAGUGAAUGAAGGCAACAGAAGAGUUGUAUUGCUGUUAGCCAAUCAGAGGUGAGAUGUUUGCAUAUCAUGAAUAUUAAUGAGCAAGACUCUACAUCUUUCUGUUUUCUGUCCCCACCUCUCCGACAAACGUUUAACCCCUGAAACUGGAGCGCAAUGCUUUUUUAUUUCAAAGAAAACAACUCAAACAGCAUUCAUUCAUACCACAAAACAAACAAAACAAAAACAAAAAAUGAGUAAAUGAGAGUUUUAAUGCCAAGAAAACCACAAGCAGAUAGACUUUUUGCUACAUUUCAAAGUCCUUAAGAAUAACACAUUAUCACCCUUAGUAUUUUAUUCCUAUUCUCGUGAGUGUUCCUGGUGAUAAUCCAGGUAAAAUAUCCUCUCUUUUCACCAUCUUUAUCCUUUCUUUCAAUAUGUAAACAGUGUUUCGCUCACAUUUCCUCCCACUAUGAUUAAUAGUUCCCUUUGUCUUGUUUAGGUUGGAGUGUUUUGGCACCAUGCUAUUGAACGGGUCCUCAGUUUCCUGUACUCGACCUCCUGUUCACUCCCGUGUGGAUGUUUCAAAAGAUGACAAGCCUCUUAAUCCCACCAGAAUGCAAAUGACUGUAAAUCAUUAAAUUAUUGCAUAAUUUAGAUCUAAAAUGCCUUUUAAUCAUCUCCAGGAGGAUUUUUGUAAAAACGUGGUUUUUUUGUAUUAUUUGUGUGAAGAAGAAAGGGAACAUAUCACUGUCUGUAAAGAUUAUUUGCUGACUGUUGCCUGACAAUAAACUCAGUGAUCUACAGAGGUAGUGCUCCAUUGGUGACUGCUCUUUCAGAUAACCAAUAGAAAAGGCUCUUUCACUGAGGAAGAGACCAGAAAAGAGGUGGAGGGAUGGAGGGGCAGGGGACUGUAGCUCCAGAAAGGUCAAACACGCCAGACGGGAGCGAUAGCCUGUAACGUUGCUGCAGAGGGACGGUCUCCGUGAGAAUGGGGUCAGCCUCAUCAUCGUUUCGUCUUGUUGGGACAGAGAUCUGCCAAGCUGAGAUGUGUGACAGGGAGCACAUGGGGGCCUUGUGAUCCAGCCCUGGACAAAGAAUGAAGUCGCUGCCAAGAUCCAGAGCAGGAAGCAGCAAAGCAGGGAGGCAGGAUUGGAAAAUAAAUCAUCUCUCCAAGAACAGAGAAUCCUGCUGUGGUCAUUGCUGCUUCACUUGACAGAUGUCUGACUGAAGAUCACCAGCCUGCUCACACAGGAGAGAAAAUCCUCCUCACACACCGUCAGUCUGCUCAUGUGUCACCGGCCACAGGCUCAGAGCUGACUCCACCAAAAGCACCAAACUCAAGUAAAGCAUCUGUACCUCCAUCUUCAGUCUGCAGCUCCAAGAGCAGUAACUUCAUCAGCCUUUUACCUGCUAAUACUUCCUCUGUGUCCUCUGACCUGCAAUGGUCCUCUAGAGGAGCCUUCAUUUGUGUUAUCGGGAUAGCUGUGUGUGUUUCCUGCAGAUUCAACCUGAGGGUGCUCGGGCUAACUGGAGAUGGGAGUUCAGUGAAGAAAAUGAUGUGUAUGUUCAUUUGUGUUCAUCUGGAGGAAGCCAGAGGUUUUUGUCAGUGGCCACCACCUAGAGGAGGAAACGUGUGUUGCACAUUUAAGCCCCUCCCCCUGCUUCUGGAAGCCAGCUCUGCAUCAGCUGGACGUCGUGUUGAACGCAGAGACAAGACAAACUAGGACGUGGUUCAACUAGAGUUUAAAGUCUGAAAAUCACAUAUCAUAGUUGUCAGCUGUCGACUUAUUUUUCCUCCAAAUGAAAGAAAAGUUACGCUUUAAUAAAUAACAUGUGGAGGUCAGCUUUUUCCAACAUGUUUGUUUUUCUCUGCAUCUUUUUCUCGCGAUGGUCCUCACAUGUCCUAAAGUGCACGUUGGCUUCCACGUGGAGGCGUCUGUGUUUGCUGCCCGUGACCUGAGUCUGCAUGGCCUCAGUGCCAGUCUCAUCCUCCGCCUCUUUUCUCUCCUCUCAUGGAGUUUCUCUGUUUGUCCCUCUAACAGCAUGUCUCUUCCACCCUCCUCCGGGUCGACAGGAUGGAUGGAGACACGGAGUAGCUCAAAGGCUCCUUCUGCCGUUCGUUCUCUUAGCUUCGACUGACAACACAGGGUUUGACUCUAAGCUGUCUGAGAGUAACCACAAAGUAUUUCCUCGAGGAAAGCCAGCUCUGCUAACAUGCCCUGCUGUUCAACUAUGUGAAAGAUGGAGAGCUUUCCUCUCCUCCUUGCUGCUGCAUUACUGAAAACACUACAUCUAUUUAUUCCACAUUUGUUAAAGUGUUAAUAUUCACCAAGGUUUUAGGUCAGCUGCGACUAUUCUUAGACAUUUCUUGUCUGAUCCUCACGGGCAUCUUGUCCUUUAAGGGUGAUAAGUGACGGGGUUGUUCGGUUUCUUCUUUAACAGACAGACCUUAAUGCAGACACGUUCUGUCAUCAUUUCGCAGUCUAACGCCUCAACUCACCCCCCUCCUCUCUUUCCACAGGGAAGGCGUGACUGCAUGUAACGAAACAAGGUUCAAGCUUCUCAAGGCCUGGUUACCCUGGCAACAGAUUACGUAGCAGCAGUCUGGGUGCAGGGACCUGCCCCAGAGCUGAGGAGGAAGGACGGUUGUGGAGACAAAAGAACAUUUAUUAUUUUAUUUUACUACGCUUGAGUGAUCUACAAACGCCACGCUAUCUGCAGUGGAGCUGUUGCAUAUGUUGUUACUGUCACAUUAUCAAUAGACUUCAGCAUCAGUGACACGCAGCGUGCUGCCUGGAAUCAUUGUCCCUCAUUGUGUCUGCAGAGAGGUGGAGAGCCCUUGGGUGGCUCUCCACCUCCUGUCAGUAGGAGAGCUGGGACACAUCCAGACAGCCAGUCUGCAUCAACCCAUUAUGGUCCGUGUGCAAGCAGGACACACACACACACACACACACACACACACACACACACACACACACACACACACACACACACACACACACACACACACACACACACACACAGGUUAAGAGCAGAAUUCACUGAUGUGAACGUCUGAAUUAGCAGUGCUGCUAUACGAGUGUUUACGCUCCUCAUUGGUUCAAGAAAUUGCAAAAGAUCUGCAGGCGUGUUGAACGUUUAAAUUGGAUGUUUUGCAUGUUUCCAGAAUGCAUGAAAGCACGACCAAAUUUUGUAUUUCAGCCAUUUUCUUUGCAGCAGAUGGGAAAAAAAUCUCUUUAUUGUGUGUGCGUGUGUGUGUGUGUG